rnacentral:rRNA from 1 species
UACAGAGGUCCCAAGCGUUGUUCGGAUUCACUGGGCGUAAAGGGUGCGUAGGCGGUCGGGUAAGUCUGACGUGAAAUCUUCAAGCUCAACUUGGAAACUGCGUCCGAUACUAUUCGGCUAGAGGAAUGGAGGGGAGACUGGAAUACUUGGUGUAGCAGUGAAAUGCGUAGAUAUCAAGUGGAACACCAGUGGCGAAGGCGAGUCUCUGGACAUUUCCUGACGCUGAGGCACGAAAGCGUGGGGAGCAAACAGG